GAAUGUGAGUGGUGGAAUGGUAGACGCGCCGUUAAAGGGUGGGGUUGAAAUCCCAUGAAGGUUCAAGUCCUUCCUACAUUUU
rnacentral:tRNA from 1 species